AUCCAGCUGACGAGUCUCAAAUAGAACGAAAUGCGCAUCCUGGAU
rnacentral:hammerhead_ribozyme from 1 species